ensembl:lncRNA
CUGCACACUGUAAGGAUGUAAGGAUGCAUCCUCGGCGUGUGUCUGCGUUUGCAUGAGCAGAGAUUCCUCAGACGUGUGACGUCAGAGGCUUUCUGUGUCGCUGCUGACCAACCGAGGCCGUCACACCACACGACCAUGGCUUCUUUCACAGAGUCGCCGCCUGACCUCACUCAUUAUGGGAUGUCCUGUUCAGAGGGAUCCCUGCCAAUUCCCAUCCUCUGCUGCGGGCGUUUCACGGCAGUCUGCACAACAAUCAGUUUGCUCUUCAGGCAGACGUCAGCGUCGCUGAAAUGUUGGCGUUCGUGACGUGACUGCAGAUGAAUCCGAGCUCCGUGUGAGAGUUUGCAGAACUUCACUUUUAAACAACGAAGAACUGAACAAGCUUCAAAACAUCUCAGGAAUCAAAAUGCAGAUUCAUUGAAACGGACUGUGGAGAACGCUGGAACAACAACAUCCACCUGUGACGCUGUCUGGGAGCUUUCACCUGUAUCAUGAGCUCAGCGGUGAAGAAAUCAGGUUCAGUUUACUGAAGCAUCAUUGUAAUAGCAGCUACGUGACAGUUGAAGAGGGCGUUGUUUCUCCUCCAUGUUUCACAAAGUCGGCAACUUUCUUCCUCCCGUUAAACUGUCUGCUCAGUCUGAGCUCAUGUGCCAAGCGCUGGUCACCACCGUCUCAGAGGAGAUGCUGUAGCCUUGACCUUUGUGGAUCAGCCACUGAGAUUCAUCAGCCAGCGUCACUCUGAGGGAAGAGAAAACGUAAUGAGUCUGACGCUGCACUCGUCAAACAUCUGAGAGUCCGAGAAUCGAGCUGUCAAAGCACGUCUGUGAACUCAAGGAAGGAAAGGAACAAAUCUGAGGAUGUAAGAAGUGCAGCGGAGUCUGGACAGAGUAAGAAAUGCGACAGUUGGACGCAAUCUGAACCUUUUCAAAGAAUAGCAAAGAGGUGUGAUGUCAAAUGAAAAGAAAUGUGAUUUACAUCCAAAACAAAGCUUCGGCUGUGGUUUGUCUUUGUUUUGUAGCAAAGGUUAAAAAUGUUUCUUGCCUGGAAACAUAAAAACCAGUCUGGGCUCAGAUAUGAUGACAUCUGUCAUGUCGGCUUCAGAAGCAGCCGUUAGCAGAAGCUGCGGUAAAGUGGAAGAAAACUUUGAAGGAACCUGAGGCAGCAUCGUUUUCUGUGACGCUCGUAGGCUUGUAGGUUUUUAUAUACAGUCAGGUCCAUAAAUAUUUGUACAGAGACUUAUUUUCUAAUGUUGGCUCUGUACAUUACCACAAUGAAAUGCAGACUUGCAGCUUUGAUUCAAUGGGUUGGACAAAAAGAUUACAUAAAAAUGCGAGAAACUAAAGUACUGUUAGCACAAUCCCUUUGUUUUAGAAGCUCUAAAGAAUUUGGACAAAUUAAAUAACUGAAAAUAAAAUGAUCGUUUCUAUGACUUUAUUCCAAACACUUUGCUGAAUGCUAGUUUCCUGCUUUUUAAUGCUCUGCCACGCCUUUACUGCAACGACCUUCAGCUGAUGUUUGUUUGUGGCCUUUCUGUCCAAAGUUCAGAGUGAAAUGCUGAGCUGGGUUAGGAUCAGGUGACAGACUUGGACAUUGAAGAAUAUUCCACUUCUUCUCUUUAAUAAACUCCUGAGGUGCUUUGGUGGAUGUUCUGAGUCAUUGUCCAUCUGUUUUAUGAAACGAGUCCCAGUUUGGCUGCAUUUAGCAGGACGUGAGUACACAGUUUGUCUCUGAACACCUCAGAUUCAUUCAGCUGCUUCUGUCCUGUGUCACAUCAUCA